rnacentral:rRNA from 1 species
AUUGAACGCUGGCGGCAUGCUUUACACAUGCAAGUCGAACGGCAGCGCGGGCUUCGGCCUGGCGGCGAGUGGCGAACGGGCGAGUAAUACAUCGGAACGUGCCCAGUAGUGGGGGAUAGCUCGGCGAAAGCCGGAUUAAUACCGCAUACGACCUGAGGGUGAAAGCGGGGGAUCUUCGGACCUCGCGCUAUUGGAGCGGCCGAUGGCAGAUUAGCUAGUUGGUGGGGUAAAGGCCUACCAAGGCGACGAUCUGCAGCUGGUCUGAGAGGACGACCAGCCACACUGGGACUGAGACACGGCCCAGACUCCUACGGGAGGCAGCAGUGGGGAAUUUUGGACAAUGGGCGAAAGCCUGAUCCAGCAAUGCCGCGUGUGUGAUGAAGGCCUUCGGGUUGUAAAGCACUUUUGGCGGGAACGAAAAGGACUGUGCCAAUACCACGGUUCGAUGACGGUACCCGCAGAAUAAGCACCGGCUAACUACGUG